rnacentral:rRNA from 1 species
GAUGAACGCUGGCGGCGUGCCUAAUACAUGCAAGUCGAGCGAACGGACGAGAAGCUUGCUUCUCUGAUGUUAGCGGCGGACGGGUGAGUAACACGUGGAUAACCUACCUAUAAGACUGGGAUAACUUCGGGAAACCGGAGCUAAUACCGGAUAAUAUUUUGAACCGCAUGGUUCAAAAGUGAAAGACGGUCUUGCUGUCACUUAUAGAUGGAUCCGCGCUGCAUUAGCUAGUUGGUAAGGUAACGGCUUACCAAGGCAACGAUGCAUAGCCGACCUGAGAGGGUGAUCGGCCACACUGGAACUGAGACACGGUCCAGACUCCUACGGGAGGCAGCAGUAGGGAAUCUUCCGCAAUGGGCGAAAGCCUGACGGAGCAACGCCGCGUGAGUGAUGAAGGUCUUCGGAUCGUAAAACUCUGUUAUUAGGGAAGAACAUAUGUGUAAGUAACUGUGCACAUCUUGACGGUACCUAAUCAGAAAGCCACGGCUAACUACGUGCCAGCAGCCGCGGUAAUACGUAGGUGGCAAGCGUUAUCCGGAAUUAUUGGGCGUAAAGCGCGCGUAGCGGUUUUUUAGUCUGAUGUGAAAGCCCACGGCUCAACCGUGGAGGGUCAUUGGAAACUGGAAAACUUGAGUGCAGAAGAGGAAAGUGGAAUUCCAUGUGUAGCGGUGAAAUGCGCAGAGAUAUGGAGGAACACCAGUGGCGAAGGCGACUUUCUGGUCUGUAACUGACGCUGAUGUGCGAAAGCGUGGGGAUCAAACAGGAUUAGAUACCCUGGUAGUCCACGCCGUAAACGAUGAGUGCUAAGUGUUAGGGGGUUUCCGCCCCUUAGUGCUGCAGCUAACGCAUUAAGCACUCCGCCUGGGGAGUACGACCGCAAGGUUGAAACUCAAAGGAAUUGACGGGGACCCGCACAAGCGGUGGAGCAUGUGGUUUAAUUCGAAGCAACGCGAAGAACCUUACCAAAUCUUGACAUCCUUUGACAACUCUAGAGAUAGAGCCUUCCCCUUCGGGGGACAAAGUGACAGGUGGUGCAUGGUUGUCGUCAGCUCGUGUCGUGAGAUGUUGGGUUAAGUCCCGCAACGAGCGCAACCCUUAAGCUUAGUUGCCAUCAUUAAGUUGGGCACUCUAAGUUGACUGCCGGUGACAAACCGGAGGAAGGUGGGGAUGACGUCAAAUCAUCAUGCCCCUUAUGAUUUGGGCUACACACGUGCUACAAUGGACAAUACAAAGGGCAGCGAAACCGCGAGGUCAAGCAAAUCCCAUAAAGUUGUUCUCAAUUCGGAUUGUAGUCUGCAACUCCACUACAUGAAGCUGGAAACGCUAGUAAUCGUAAAUCACCAUGCUACCGUGAAUAAGGUUCCCGGGUCU